rnacentral:rRNA from 1 species
UACGUAGGGGGCUAGCGUUGUCCGGAAUCAUUGGGCGUAAAGAGCGUGUAGGCGGCUUGGCAAGUCCGCUGUGAAAGUCCAGGGCUCAACCCUGGAACGCCAGUGGAAACUGUCAAGCUAGAGUCCGGAAGAGGCGAGUGGAACUCCUGGUGUAGCGGUGAAAUGCGCAGAUAUCAGGAAGAACACCAAUGGCGAAGGCAGCUCGCUGGGACGGUACUGACGCUGAGACGCGAAAGCGUGGGGAGCAAACAGG